AUUACAUAACAUGAAGCAGGUGCCCAUUAGGGCUUAAUAGGGAAGUCCGGUGAUAAGCCGGCGCGGUCCCGCCACUGUAUUGGGGAACAAGCUCAAGAUAUACCACUGGAAGAGGUUCCGGGAAGGUUUGAGUGCGUUAUGAUCCAGAGCCAGGAGAACUGCCUGUUUGACAGUCACCGU
rnacentral:ncRNA from 2 species